GCACCGGUGGCGUAACGGUAACGCACGUCGGCAGAGUCAUUAGAGUUUUGGAAUUCCCACGUUUCACGACGAGUUCGGGGUUCGAGUUCCAGCCGGUGCA